rnacentral:rRNA from 1 species
GACGAACGCUGGCGGUGUGCUUAACACAUGCAAGUGGUGCGACGAACCAGAGCUUGCUCUGGGGCAAAGCCGCGAACGGGUGAGUAACACGUGGGUAAUCUACCCCGAUGACCGGGACAACCCGAGGAAACUCGGGCUAAUACCGGAUGUGGUGCGGAGACAUAAGUCUCUUCACUAAAGGUAGCUUCGGCUUCCGCAUUGGGAGGGGCUCGCGGCCCAUUAGCUUGUUGGUGGGGUCAAGGCCUACCAAGGCAACGAUGGGUAGCUGGUCUGAGAGGACGAUCAGCCACACUGGGACUGAGACACGGCCCAGACUCCUACGGGAGGCAGCAGUGGGGAAUCUUGCGCAAUGCGCGAAAGCGUGACGCAGCAACACCGCGUGAGGGAAGAAGGCCUUAGGGUUGUAAACCUCUUUCAGAUGGGACGAAGGUUCUCCGGUGAAUAGCCGAGAGGAUUGACGGUACCGUCAGAAGAAGCUCCGGCUAACUACGUG